rnacentral:rRNA from 1 species
GAUGAACGCUGGCGGCGUGCCUAAUACAUGCAAGUCGAGCGAACGGACGAGAAGCUUGCUUCUCUGAUGUUAGCGGCGGACGGGUGAGUAACACGUGGAUAACCUACCUAUAAGACUGGGAUAACUUCGGGAAACCGGAGCUAAUACCGGAUAAUAUUUUGAACCGCAUGGUUCAAAAGUGAAAGACGGUCUUGCUGUCACUUAUAGAUGGAUCCGCGCUGCAUUAGCUAGUUGGUAAGGUAACGGCUUACCAAGGCAACGAUGCAUAGCCGACCUGAGAGGGUGAUCGGCCGCACUGGAAAUGAGACACGGUCCAGACUCCUACGGGAGGCAGCAGUAGGGAAUCUUCCGCAAUGGGCGAAAGCCUGACGGAGCAACGCCGCGUGAGUGAUGAAGGUCUUCGGAUCGUAAAACUCUGUUAUUAGGGAAGAACAUAUGUGUAAGUAACUGUGCACAUCUUGACGGUACCUAAUCAGAAAGCCACGGCUAACUACGUG